rnacentral:rRNA from 1 species
UACGUAGGGUGCGAGCGUUGUCCGGAAUUAUUGGGCGUAAAGAGCUCGUAGGCGCCUGUCGCGUCGGAUGUGAAAGCCCGGGGCUUAACCCCGGGUCUGCAUUCGAUACGGGCAGGCUAGAGUGUGGUAGGGGAGAUCGGAAUUCCUGGUGUAGCGGUGAAAUGCGCAGAUAUCAGGAGGAACACCGGUGGCGAAGGCGGAUC